rnacentral:tRNA from 1 species
UCCCUGGCAGUUCAGUGGUUAAAACUCUGCACUUUCAAUGCAGGGGGUACGGACUCAAUCCCUGAUUGGGGAA